rnacentral:rRNA from 1 species
UGGGAAUCUACCUAAAAAUGGGGAAUAACUGUUGGAAACGACAGCUAAUACCGCAUAAUCCCCUCGGGGCAAAGGCUUCGGCCGUUUUUAGAUGAGCCCGCGUUAGAUUAGGCUGUUGGUGGGGUAAUGGCUCACCAAACCUGCAAUCUAUAGCUGGUCUGAGAGGAUGAUCAGCCACACUGGGACUGAGACACGGCCCAGACUCCUACGGGAGGCAGCAGUGGGGAAUAUUGGACAAGGGGGGAAACCCUGAUCCAGCAAUGCCGCGUGAGUGAUGAAGGCCUUAGGGUUGUAAAGCUCUUUCAGAAGUGAAGAUGAUGACGGUAACUUCAGAAGAAGCUCCGGCUAACUCCGUGCCAGCAGCCGCGGUAAUACGGAGGGAGCUAGCGUUGUUCGGAAUUACUGGGCGUAAAGGGCGUGUAGGCUGUUUGAUUAGUCAGAGGUGAAAUCCCUAAGCUCAACUUAGGAACUGCCUUUGAUACUAUCAUACUAGAGAUCGAGAGAAGUUAGCGGAAUUCCAAGUGUAGAGGUGAAAUUCGUAGAUAUUUGGAAGAACACCUGUGGCGAAAGCGGCUAACUGGCUCGUUUCUGACGCUGAGACGCGAAAGCGUGGGUAGCAAACAGGAUUAGAUACCCUGGUAGUCCACGCCGU